AACCUUUGUUGUGUUAAGCCAUAGGUUCUGGAGUCAGCCAUUAGCCAAGCCUGACUACUGCAUAUCUCUACCUAACUGCUGCCUCAUCUAUCAUUUGAGGAGAAUGACAUCUACCCCCGGGGAUGUUGGGAAAGCAAAGACAUACUCUGAUAAAGCAGCUGCAGUUCUUAUAAAAUCCAUUGGAAUAAAAGACACACUCAGAUCUGAACAAGACACUGGUUGUCUAUCUGGUUCAGCCACAAAACUGGAAAUUAAGUGACUGAAAAGACCUACAUUAGCACCUGUUUUUGCUAACUGAAAGAAAUCCAAGGAGGAUAUUCGCUUUCACGAAAAAAACUGAAAAUAGCGCUCAGCUUUUGUUUUACGAGCUGUUAGAGCCCUUAUAGAGGCAGCACACAUCCCCAGCUGCGAGAGUGGAGCCUCCACGCUCCUUCCCUGGAAAUUGCACUCAGUGUCUCAGCAUCAAGCCGCCAGAGCCUUGAACUGUGUCUGUGAGCAUCUGUGCUUUAUCUCCACUUAUUUCAGUGGAUUAUUUUUUGGCUCUGGGGACAAAAAAAUUUUUCCCAUGCUUCCAGUGAGAAUGGCGAAGAGCCCGAACAAGACUGCAAAUGGUAAUUCAAAUUUCCUCUCCCCCGUGACCUUCAGAAAAAUGCGCAGUCCCAGGAGUAUGUUAUUACCAAGUGCAGAAGAAGUAACAGUGCCUCUGUUCAGAGGGAGGGAAAAGAUGAGUUUUCAUUGACUACUCUUCAUAAUUUUCUCAAAAAAGAUGAUAAACAAAAUUCAUUAAGAACAUUCUCUGAAUGCUUACAGUGAUAUUUUAUGGAGAAUAAAACCCUUAA
rnacentral:lncRNA from 1 species